rnacentral:rRNA from 1 species
GACGAACGCUGGCGGCGUGCUUAACACAUGCAAGUCGAACGGAAAGGCCUGCUUUCCCUUGUGGAUUGCGGGUACUCGAGUGGCGAACGGGUGAGUAACACGUGAGUGAUCUGCCCCCAACUUGGGUAUAAGCCUGGGAAAUUGGGUCUAAUUCCCGAUAGGACUGCAGGGUGGUGCCUGUGGUGGAAAACGAUUUUCUAGUGGUUGGGGAUGAGCUCGCGGCCUAUCUGCUUGGUGGUGGGGUAAUGGCCUACCAAGGCGGCGACGGGUAGCCGGCCUGAGAGGGUGGACGGCCACAUUGGGACUGAGAGACGGCCCAGACUCCUACGGGAGGCAGCAGUGGGGAAUAUUGCACAAUGGGCGGAAGCCUGAUGCAGCGACGCCGCGUGGGGGAUGACGGCCUUCGGGUUGUAAACUCCUUUCGACCGCGAGGAAGCCACCUGGUUGGAAGGGUGGUGACGGUAGUGGUAGAAGAAGCACCGGCUAACUACGUG